rnacentral:misc_RNA from 1 species
AACGAGGCCGACCUGCGGCUGAGUUACCUGCGGAAGGAUCAUUACAUUCAGUAGCCUAGCUACUUGUUUAUACCCUUGUUUUUUGCGUACCUAUUGUUUCCUCGGUGGGCUUGCCUGCCGAUUGGACAAAACUAUAACCUUUUUAAAUCUUCAAUCAGCGUCUGAAUUAUACAUAAUAAUUACAACUUUUAACAACGGAUCU